UUGGGUGCAUAUUAUGAGCCACAGGUUUGAAGGCAACACAACACAGCAGGAAAGAGAGAGAUGGAAAGGCUCUCCUUUCUCUCUCCUCAGAUUCAAGCCUCUCUUUCUCUCUCUCAUCUCACAAGAGACCACUUCCCUCCUGCCUUUCUAUUUGGUGCGGCCACUUCUUCAUUGCAGGCUGGUGGAGGGUGCAGCACAAGAGGAUGGGAAAAAACCCAGUAUUGAAGAGACAUUUACAGAUGGAAUACCUGGUUGGGAUAAAAUUAAAGUGGCCGCUGAUCAAUAUCACAAGUAUAAGGAAGAUGUGAAGUUAUGCAUGAGAUGGGUUUUCCAUAGCCUGGCCUAGGCUCAUUCCUGAUGGACGUGGAGCUGUGAAUCCACUGGGGUUAAAAUACUACAACAGUCUCCUUGAUGAGCUCCACAGCCAUGGUAACCCUCUCUUUCUCUCUGUUGAUGAAAUCGUUAGCCAUGGCAACUGUCUCCCUACAAUAAGAUCCUCACUACCCCACACCCUGGUGUAGAGGGGCUCAGCCAAAAUCGGAGCCAGGGAUUGCCGCACAUGUAACCCUCUACCACUUCGAUUUGCCCCGGUCACUUCAAGACAAGUAUGGAGGAUGGAUAAACCCAAGAAUAAUUUAGGACUUCACCGCAUAUGCAGAAGCUUGUUUUCGAGAAUUCGGGGACCGGGUAGUGGCUUGGAGCACCUUCAAUGAGCCCAAUUUUUUCACAGGCGCUGGCUAUGAUGUGGGUCUUAUCGCACCAUAUCGUGGCUCGUUUCCUUUAUUUUCUAGUUGCUCAGAGGGAAACUCUUCAGCAGAUGGUUACCUUGCUGCUCAUAACGUGCUAUUAUCACAUGCAAAUGCUGUUGAGUUAUACAGAGAAAAAUACCAGAUCCAUGAUCAUUGAGGUGGAGAUGAUUGAUUUACUGUCAGUUCUUGGGAAUUUCAGUCCAUUGGAAGAAGAGUGGAACCAACCAGCUUUUCCCUUCAGCAAUGAGUGACAUGUUGGAAUACUUCAAGCAGUCUUACAAAGAUGUCAAGAUCUUUAUACAUGAAAAUGGGUCAUGGUGAUACCCCUCCUCCUCUUGAGAACGGAGACGAUGAUCCUAGGGUUCAGUAUUUGCAAUCGUACUUGGAAGCCUUGCUCACCUCUAUAAGGUGGAUCAAAUGUUGAAGGGUAUUUUGUAUGGUCUUUUGUGGACUGUUUUGAGUAUGCAUUUCUAAAGACAUUUGGUCUUUACUACGUGGAUUUUGAAGAGAGAGACAUCAAAAGGUACCCCACCCCAUCGUCUAUAUGGUACUCAAACUUCCUUCAUGGAAAGGAGGGAAGCAAAGUUAAGAGGACAGAGACGUGUGUACCAAACAGAGCUUUCAUCCUAUAUGAGGUGAUAGUCCAAAGCAAAGAACUCCAAUGCUCCACUUCACAGUGAUGAACAAGAUUUCAAAUAAAAGUUAACCUUUGUUAUGGCUUCAAACUUUGUUAGGCUUUUUUUAUAACGAUUUCAAACUUUGUUAGGCUUCUUCUGCAAUGGAGAUGCCAUGUUUUGUAUCAACUUUAGACUAUGAUUUAUGGGAUAGUUGUCUUGAGGAGGAUAUGGUGUUUAUGGG